UACGAAGGGGGCUAGCGUUGCUCGGAAUCACUGGGCGUAAAGCGCACGUAGGCGGCUUCUUAAGUCAGGGGUGAAAUCCUGGAGCUCAACUCCAGAACUGCCUUUGAUACUGAGGAUCUUGAGUUCGGGAGAGGUGAGUGGAACUGCGAGUGUAGAGGUGAAAUUCGUAGAUAUUCGCAAGAGCACCAGUGGCGAAGGCGGCUCACUGGCCCGAUACUGACGCUGAGGCACGAAAGCGUGGGGAGCAAACAGG
rnacentral:rRNA from 1 species